ACAUCACAGCUCUGACUUCGAUGACGACUGCUGUCUGUGCUGUGAGCCUCAUCUUCAAUUAACACUUACUUCUUUUAUAAUUUAAGCAUGCAGACCUACAGACAACACCUUGAUGACAUCGAAGAAAUAAGGACGUUUAGUCAAGUUGAUGUUAUGAGGAAGCGACGAUUUAAUGUAAGACGAGAUCCUUGUCAGUUUUAUAAUGAAAAGGAAUUUAUUCAGCGCUACAGAGCAUCUAAGGACAGCACCAGGACAGCAUAUUCACAACGUCAAGACUUUGUGACAGUCUGCAGGCCGGUGAUUAUCUAGGCUUUCUCCUUGGUGAUAGUGGAUAUGCAUUGCGUCCAUACUUACUCACUCCAAUCCAUAAUCCAGCUUAUGAAAGGCAGAGGAAAUAUAACAGAUCUCAUAUUAAAACAAGAACUACAAUUGAAAGGACAUUUGGAGUGUGGAAGAGGAGAUUUGCUGUCUUGCAACAUGUAAGAGUAAAGCUGUCUACUACCAAAAAUAUUAUAAUUGCAUGUGCAGUUCUCCAUAAUAUUGCUUUGAUUUCUGGGCUUCCACUGGACAUAGAAGACAUGCAUUAAGAAGUAAUACGGCUUUAGUUAGUUAGGUAACUACUAUGUUCCAUACAUUACUUUAAGUGGUGAACGAUUCAUGUCAUUAAAUUUUAAUAAAACAGUGGUUCUAUA
rnacentral:lncRNA from 1 species